AUUGAACGCUGGCGGCAGGCCUAACACAUGCAAGUCGAGCGGUAGAGAGGUGCUUGCACCUCUUGAGAGCGGCGGACGGGUGAGUAAUGCCUAGGAAUCUGCCUGGUAGUGGGGGAUAACGCCCGGAAACGGACGCUAAUACCGCAUACGUCCUACGGGAGAAAGCAGGGGACCUUCGGGCCUUGCGCUAUCAGAUGAGCCUAGGUCGGAUUAGCUAGUUGGUGAGGUAAUGGCUCACCAAGGCGACGAUCCGUAACUGGUCUGAGAGGAUGAUCAGUCACACUGGAACUGAGACACGGUCCAGACUCCUACGGGAGGCAGCAGUGGGGAAUAUUGGACAAUGGGCGAAAGCCUGAUCCAGCCAUGCCGCGUGUGUGAAGAAGGUCUUCGGAUUGUAAAGCACUUUAAGUUGGGAGGAAGGGUCGUUACCUAAUACGUGACGAUUUUGACGUUACCGACAGAAUAAGCAUCGGCUAACUCUGUGCCAGCCGCCGCGGUAAAAC
rnacentral:rRNA from 1 species